CAGUUGCGCGUUGAGCACAUAGCGAACUAUUCUUUCGCCUUUUACUAAAUAUUACCGUGUGAUCCUCGUUUGAAAAUGGCAUACACUACUUUUGGAGGGGUGUCUUCUUGCUAGGAGACC